AGUCGGACGGCAGCGGGGAAGUGCUUGCACUUCUGCCGGCGAGUGGCGAACGGGUGAGUAACAUAUUGGAACGUACCGAGUAAUGGGGGAUAACUGAUCGAAAGAUUAGCUAAUACCGCAUACGCUCUGAGGAGGAAAGCAGGGGACCUUCGGGCCUUGCGUUAUUCGAGCGGCCAAUAUCUGAUUAGCUGGUUGGUGGGGUAAAGGCCUACCAAGGCGACGAUCAGUAGCGGGUCUGAGAGGAUGAUCCGCCACACUGGGACUGAGACACGGCCCAGACUCCUACGGGAGGCAGCAGUGGGGAAUUUUGGACAAUGGGCGCAAGCCUGAUCCAGCCAUGCCGCGUGUCUGAAGAAGGCCUUCGGGUUGUAAAGGACUUUUGUCAGGGAAGAAAAGGGAGAUGCUAAUACCAUUUCCUCAUGACGGUACCUGAAGAAUAAGCACCGGCUAA
rnacentral:rRNA from 1 species